rnacentral:rRNA from 1 species
GACGAACGCUGGCGGCGUGCUUAACACAUGCAAGUCGAACGGAAAGGCCCUGCUUUUGUGGGGUGCUCGAGUGGCGAACGGGUGAGUAACACGUGAGUAACCUGCCCUUGACUUUGGGAUAACUUCAGGAAACUGGGGCUAAUACCGGAUAGGAGCUCCUGCUGCAUGGUGGGGGUUGGAAAGUUUCGGCGGUUGGGGAUGGACUCGCGGCUCAUCAGCUUGUUGGUGGGGUAGUGGCUUACCAAGGCUUUGACGGGUAGCCGGCCUGAGAGGGUGACCGGCCACAUUGGGACUGAGAUACGGCCCAGACUCCUACGGGAGGCAGCAGUGGGGAAUAUUGCACAAUGGGCGGAAGCCUGAUGCAGCAACGCCGCGUGCGGGAUGACGGCCUUCGGGUUGUAAACCGCUUUCGCCUGUGACGAAGCGUGAGUGACGGUAAUGGGUAAGGAAGCACCGGCUAACUACGUG